rnacentral:lncRNA from 1 species
CGCUAUGGGGCAGCUGUAGGGCAGCCAUGGGGCAGCUGUGGGGUCACUAUGGGGCAGCUGUGGGGUCUCUGUGGGGCAGCUAUGGGGCAGGGCGGCGCUGCAGCCCCACAUCUCCCCACAGAUCGCCAUGGAGUUCUGUGUGGGUUCGGCCGCCGAUCUGCUGCAGCGUGAGUGGGGCUGGGGGCCGAUGUGGGGCGGAUGUGGGGCUGGGGGCGGAUGUGGGGCGGAUGUGGGGCGGAUGUGGGGCGGCUGCUGCUUAUGGGGCCCUAUGGGGUCUUCAUGGGUUUUUUUUGUGUCUCUGUGGGGUCCUUAUAGGGUUCCUUAAGGGUUCCUAUGGGGUCCCUAUGGGUCUGUCCCUGUGGGGUCUCUCUAUGGGGUCUUUCUAUGGGGUCUCUCUAUGGGGUCUUUCUAUGGGGUCUCUGCCUAUGGGGUUUCUGUUUAUGGGGUCUUUUUAUGGGGUUUCUCUGUAUGGGGUGUCUCUAUGGGGUGUUUCUCUAUGGGGUCUCUCUCUAUGGGGUGUCUCUACGGGGUCUCUUUAUGGGGUCGAUUCUUAUGGGGUCUCUCUAUGGGAUUUCUCUCUAUGGGGUCUCUCCCUGUAGGGUCUCUGUUCAUGGGGUGUUUUUCUAUGGGGUCUCUUUAUGAGGUCUCUCUAUGGGGUCCCUAUGGGGUCUGUCCCUAUGGGGUCUCCCUAUGGGGUCUCCCUAUGGGUCCCUAUGGGGUCCCUAUGGGGUGUCCCUAUGGGGUGUCCCUAUGGGGUCUCCCUAUGAGGUCCCUAUGGGGUCUGUCCCUAUGGGGUCUCUCUAUGGGGUCUCUCUAUGGGGUUCCUAUGGGGUCUGUCCCUAUGGGGUCUGUUUAUGGGGUCCCUAUGGGGUCUCUCUAUGGGGUCUGUCCCUAUGUGUCCCUAUGGGGUCUCCCUAUGGGGUCCCUAUGGGGUCUGUCCCUAUGGGGUCUCUCUAUGGGGUCCCUAUGGGUCCCUAUGGGGUGUCCCUAUGGGGUCUCUCUAUGGGGUCUGUCUAUGGGGUCCCUAUGGGGUCUGUCCCUAUGGGGUGUCCCUAUGUGUCCCUAUGUGUCCCUAUGGGGUGUUCCUAUGGGGUGUUCCUAUGGGUCCCUAUGUGUCCCUAUGGGUUCUCUCUAUGUGUCCCUAUGGGGUCUCUCUAUGGGGUCCCUAUGGGGUGUCCCUAUGGGGUCUC